rnacentral:tRNA from 1 species
GCAGAGGUGGCUGAGCCUGGACCAAGGCGCCGGUCUUGAAAACCGGUGGCGGUUACGCCUCGGGAGUUCGAAUCUCCCCCUCUGCGCCA